UCUAGAACUUUAACAUCAUGUCGCUGCUUCAACGCUUUUACGAAGACAUGCCGCGAGGUGGAGCCUAUGUAUGUACGCAGAUGCUGGUUAAUGGUGGCAGUUCUGCGAGGUGCAGUGUACGCCAUGGGCGGUCGACAUUAUAGACUGGUUUACAGAUCGGUUGAAAGAUACGACUGCAAAUCGAACCAGUGGUCUUUCAUCAGUCCCAUGAACACACAGCGAGCCAGUGCAGCAGCGGCUGUACUGAAUGACAAAAUAUACGUCGCUGGUGGAAUUGAUGAUACGGAUUUUCUAAACACGGUGGAAGUUUAUGACCCGGACACCGACCGAUGGACGUUCGUUGCACCAAUGCUUUCUGAACGUAGGUGGUUUGCUUGCGUCCCGUUCCACGGCUAUCUGUACGCCCUAGGUACAAAGUGACAGACAUGAAUGAUUAUAGAUCUUAUAUGUCGAUAUGUGUCGUCAAGAACCUACCGAAAGCAAACGAUUACGCCUACAAACCCAGAUAGAAAUUGAUGGUGGAGAAACGCAAAAAAGAAGCAGAAGAACGUAAAAAAGGAAGAGGUGAAACGCAAAGAACGAAGUAGAAGAAAGAUCCAGAAUUAUCUUCAUCAAAUUGAUGACACAGAUUUGAAGCUAACCACUUCAAAGUCCUUAACCAUGCGUUCGCUUGUGGAGUUUGUAUAUCAUUUGCUGUCUAACUUUUCAAAGAAACACAUUAUAAAUAUGAGUAACUACGCUGAUGAAAUUCCCCACCUGACCGAGAGGCUCGGAUUUCCAGGCAGCGUUAAGAAAUCCUGGCUAAUUACAGGUUUGUAACCUACAAGUUAAAACAAAUUGUCAUUACUCCAUUUUCAUAACCAAUUACUUGUUACCAUUUGUGUACCAGCCAGCUCUUCAUUUCCGCCAAUAUAAUUUGUCUCAUCUCACUUACUAAGUAAUCCAUAAACAUACCAAUACACACUCACCCUGAAAAUGGUACAUUCAGUGUUUACGAAAAUGUUGGAUUGCUUUCAUCAUUCAACAUGGACAUCACUGAAAGCCAAAGCUGUACACUGGAUUUCAGUUGCAAACACUGAAGUACAGGAAGUCUUGUAAUUGUUUAUGUACAUAAUUUGUAUAAUAUUUGCAGCAAACUCGUCUCACUCGUGGCCUAAUGUCAUUGGUCUACUGUCCUGGUUGGUAGAUAUGGUUAGAACUUACAGACCCGAGAUGUUGAGCAUGAUUAUGUUUCCUCCUGAAGGUGAGGAAGAUGUAGAUGAAAGCAAUCUCGAUACACAGGUAAUUACUUCUUGUUUGUUUUUCUUCCCCAUGGUCCUUCUGAUAAGAUAAUUAGGUACAGUAAGACUGUAAUCUUGCGACUUGCAAGGAAUGCAGGAAGUCCGAAGCGUUAGAGGCUGACGCUAUCUUUUCUCCUUUACCCCACUUUGUCACCCAGCAAGUCUCAAGAUUACAAUCAUGGACUAUAUAAUUCACAUUUCAUAAAAGAUCUAUGAACAUUGAGAAAAUAAAUAUUAUGUUAUGUGCAUAUUUGUUGUGUGCAGUUAUUACCCUUCGUCCUUUGAUCAAACAGGCCAAGUGGUAAAUGGAUUAUCGUGGAAUAAAAGCAUGCAGCUCAUAUUUCAUGAUUUUCUUUGUGUGUAGUUGUAGUUUUGACAGCCACGGUGGU